UACGUAGGGGGCAAGCGUUGUCCGGAAUUAUUGGGCGUAAAGAGCGUGUAGGCGGCCAGAUAAGUCCGCUGUGAAAUCUCGAGGCUCAACUUCGAGCUGUCGGCGGAAACUAUCUGGCCAGAGUCCGGAAGAGGAGAAUGGAAUUCCUGGUGUAGCGGUGAAAUGCGCAGAUAUCAGGAAGAACACCCGUGGCGAAGGCGGUUCUCUGGGACGGUACUGACGCUGAGACGCGAAAGCGUGGGGAGCGAACAGG
rnacentral:rRNA from 1 species